rnacentral:lncRNA from 1 species
AGAUGCAGAUGAGAGAACGAGUCCUUCAGCUAAUGAUAUAACUAAUGGGAUGGGAGAUGGCUCAGAAGCUAAGACCAUGGGGCUGCCUUUCCGGGAUAGGCUUUGAUUCCCAGAACCCACAUGGAGGCUCAAAACCAUCUGGAACACCGGCACAACACCCUCUUCUGCCUCCAAGAACAAACACCAGGCAUGUAAGUGUGCACAGACAUACACACAGACAAAAGACUCAUAGAUAUAAAAUAAGAAUGGAGAAUUAUCUUACAGGUCCUAUGGAAGAACGGCAAUAACUCUUAGCUACUCACCCCCCAGUUUAUUUCUGUAAGAAAAAAAAAAAACAACCAAAUCCCGAUAUUCCAGGUACAUAAAGAGUAGAUUAUUUUCUGAUAAAUUUUCAGACCAGUUAAAGAAAAACUUUGAAUAUUACAGGCAUGCCUUCAAUAUCUGAGGGUAUAACCUUAAGGGGGUAGGUGGGGGGCUUCAAACAUGGUGCUGAAGAGAUGGCUCAGCAGUCAGGGCAUCUGCUGCUCUUGCGGAGGAUCUGCGAAGGUUCUAGAAUCCACGUCAGGUGUCUCACAGCAUCUGGAACUCCAGCUUCCGAGGAUCCAAUGCCUCUGGCCUCUGUUGGCACCAGGCAUGGAUAUGAUACACAGUAUCAGCAUGUAUACAUAAAACAAAGCGCCCAGAAGCAUAAAAAUAAAAACAGUAUUCUGAAAUGUAUUUAAAAUGAAAAUAAAACAUUAAGUGAGCUUAAA